rnacentral:lncRNA from 1 species
CUCACUGUGUUUAGGCUAGAGUAAUUGAUUUUUCCUCUAAGUUUUCUUUCUUUCUUUUGUUUCAGGGAAAGCAAUACCAUUUCAUCAGCUGGCUGGCUUCUCACCAGUUUUCUGACCGUUUCUUUUUUUGUGUGCACAUCUGGCAAUAAAACAGCUCCGCCACUCCCAGGAAGGAAGAAGCAUGCCCACACCAUUCCAAAAGUGUCCCUUCCCAUUGCGACUCCUUGCAGCAUUGGUUUCUGGAAACAGCAGCCUUACUGUUCAUCAUUUUGGCAUGCAGCUCUGAGAUAA